rnacentral:rRNA from 1 species
UCUCUUGGUCCAAUUAGAGGAAGUAAAAGUCGUAACAAGGUCUCCGUAGGUGAACCUGCGGAGGGAUCAUUACACAAAUAUGAAGGCGGGCUGGAACCUCUCGGGGUUACAGCCUUGCUGAAUUAUUCACCCUUGUCUUUUGCGUACUUCUUGUUUCCUUGGUGGGUUCGCCCACCACUAGGACAAACAUAAACCUUUUGUAAUUGCAAUCAGCGUCAGUAACAAAUUAAUAAUUACAACUUUCAACAACGGAUCUCUUGGUUCUGGCAUCGAUGAAGAACGCAGCGAAAUGCGAUAAGUAGUGUGAAUUGCAGAAUUCAGUGAAUCAUCGAAUCUUUGAACGCACAUUGCGCCCUUUGGUAUUCCAAAGGGCAUGCCUGUUCGAGCGUCAUUUGUACCCUCAAGCUUUGCUUGGUGUUGGGCGUCUUGUCUCUAGCUUUGCUGGAGACUCGCCUUAAAGUAAUUGGCAGCCGGCCUACUGGUUUCGGAGCGCAGCACAAGUCGCACUCUCUAUCAGCAAAGGUCUAGCAUCCAUUAAGCCUUUUUUUCAACUUUUGACCUCGGAUCAGUAGGGAUACCCGCUGAACUUAAGCAUAUCAUAGGCGGGAGGAA